rnacentral:rRNA from 1 species
AACGAACGCUGGCGGCAUGCCUAACACAUGCAAGUCGAACGAGACCUUCGGGUUUAGUGGCGCACGGGAGCGUAACGCGUGGGAACCUGCCCCUAGGUUCGGAAUAACUCCCCGCAAGGGGUGUUAAUACCGGAUAAUGUCUUCGGACCAAAGAUUUAUCGCCUUUGGAUGGGCCCGCGUUGGAUUAGCUAGUUGGUAGGGUAAAAGCCUACCAAGGCGACGAUCCAUAGCUGGUCUGAGAGGAUGAUCAGCCACACUGGGACUGAGACACGGCCCAGACUCCUACGGGAGGCAGCAGUGGGGAAUAUUGGACAAUGGGCGAAAGCCUGAUCCAGCAAUGCCGCGUGAGUGAUGAAGGCCUUAGGGUUGUAAAGCUCUUUUACCCGGGAUGAUAAUGACGGUACCGGGAGAAUAAGCUCCGGCUAACUCCGUG